AUUGAACGCUGGCGGCAGGCCUAACACAUGCAAGUCGAACGAGUGGCGGACGGGUGAGUAAUGUCUGGCAAACUGCCAGAUGGAGGGGGAGAACUGCCGGAAACGGUAGCUAAUACCGCAUACCAAUAGAUGUGCCUAGAUGGGAUUAGCUAGUUGGGGGGGUAACGGCCCACCUAGGCGACGAUCCCUAGCUGGUCUGAGUGGAUGACCAGCCACACUGGAACUGAGACACGGUCCAGACUCCUACGGGAGGCAGCAGUGGGGAAUUUUGGACACUGGGCGCAAGCCUGAUGCAGCCAUGCCGCGUGUAUGAAGAAGGCCUUCGGGUGGUAAAGUACUUUCAGCGGGGAGGCGUUACCCGCAGAAGAAGCACCGGCUAACUCCGUGCCAGCAGCCGCGGUAAUUC
rnacentral:rRNA from 1 species